GGGGUUGUGGCUCAGCAGUAGAGCGCUCGCCUAGCACAUGUGAAGCCCUGGGUAUGAUCCUCAGCAACUACA
rfam:Ictidomys tridecemlineatus contig107526, whole genome shotgun sequence.